GAGGAAAGCUGGCUUUUCCGGGGGCUGCGGGAGCCGGGCCGCGGGAGGGCGGAGGAGUUGGCGCGCCGAGCGCUCGGCCCGGGGAGCGGUUUUCUACCAAAAAAAGGAAAGGCGGGCAAAAAGUGUGAGGCGGCUGCGGGUGGCGGAGGGGAGCGGCGGCCGCGGGAUGGCGGGCAGCAGGGGCGCCUAGCUGCGCCGGGAGCCGGGGCCGCCGCCGGAGUCGUUGUCGCCGGAGCCUGGAGCCGUGAACCCAGCCGCGCCAGACGCCGUGUGCGCCGCCUCGCGCAGCUCCGCCCGGCCGCCCAGAGGGGCCC
rnacentral:lncRNA from 1 species